rnacentral:rRNA from 1 species
UAGGGAAUCUUCCGCAAUGGACGCAAGUCUGACGGAGCAACGCCGCGUGAGUGAAGAAGGAUUUCGGUUCGUAAAACUCUGUUGUUAGAGAAGAACAGCGCAUAGAGUAACUGUUAUGCGUGUGACGGUAUCUAACCAGAAAGCCACGGCUAACUACGUGCCAGCAGCCGCGGUAAUACGUAGGUGGCAAGCGUUGUCCGGAUUUAUUGGGCGUAAAGCGAGCGCAGGCGGUUAGAAAAGUCUGAAGUGAAAGGCAGUGGCUCAACCAUUGUAGGCUUUGGAAACUGUUUAACUGGAGUGCAGAAGGGGAGAGUGGAAUUCCAUGUGUAGCGGUGAAAUGCGUAGAUAUAUGGAGGAACACCGGUGGCGAAAGCGGCUCUCUGGUCUGUAACUGACGCUGAGGCUCGAAAGCGUGGGGAGCGAACAGG